GGGGUCUUAGUUUAAUGGCAGAACAAUUGCUUUGCAAGCAAUGAAUAAGGGUUCGAUUCCCUUAGACUCCACCA
rnacentral:tRNA from 1 species